rnacentral:rRNA from 1 species
UACGUAGGUGACAAGCGUUGUCCGGAUUUACUGGGCGUAAAGGGCGCGUAGGCGGCCUGCUAAGUCACACGUGAAAUCCCUCGGCUCAACCGGGGAACUGCGUGUGAUACUGGCGGGCUUGAAUUCGGGAGAGGGAUGUGGAAUUCCAGGUGUAGCGGUGAAAUGCGUAGAGAUGUGGAGGAACACCGAUGGCGAAGGCAGCCCCCUGGGCCGAUACUGACGCUCAGGCACGAAAGCGUGGGGAGCAAACAGG